rnacentral:rRNA from 1 species
GACGAACGCUGGCGGCGUGCCUAAUACAUGCAAGUCGAACGCAGUGGGGACGGGUGAGUAACACGUGGGUAACCUCCCAUCAGAGGGGAUAACACUUGGAAACAGGUGCUAAACCGAUACUGAUGGAUGGACCCGCGGUGCCUUAGCUAGUUGGUGAGGUAACGGCUCACCAAGGCCACGAUGGAUAGCCAACCUGAGCGGGUGUGGGGCCAAACUGGGACUAAGAGACGGCCCGGACUCCUACGGGAGGCAGCGGUAGGGAAACUUCGGCAAUGGACGAAAGGCGGACCGAGUAACGCCGCGUGAGUGAAGAAGGUUUUCGAAUCGUAAGACUCUGUGGUUAGAGAAGCGGUAUCUAACCAGAAAGCCACGGCUAACUACGUGCCAGCAGCCGCGGUAAUUC